rnacentral:rRNA from 1 species
UCGAGCGGCAGCGCGGGGGCAACCCUGGCGGCGAGCGGCGAACGGGUGAGUAAUGUAUCGGAACGUACCCAGUCGUGGGGGAUAACUAUCCGAAAGGAUAGCUAAUACCGCAUACGUCCUGAGGGAGAAAGCGGGGGACCGUAAGGCCUCGCGCGAUUGGAGCGGCCGAUAUCGGAUUAGCUAGUUGGUGAGGUAAAGGCUCACCAAGGCGACGAUCCGUAGCUGGUCUGAGAGGACGACCAGCCACACUGGAACUGAGACACGGUCCAGACUCCUACGGGAGGCAGCAGUGGGGAAUUUUGGACAAUGGGGGCAACCCUGAUCCAGCCAUUCCGCGUGAGUGAAGAAGGCCUUCGGGUUGUAAAGCUCUUUCAGCAGGAACGAAACGGUGGUCCUUAAUACGGGCUACUAAUGACGGUACCUGAAUAAGAAGCACCGGCUAACUACGUGCCAGCAGCCGCGGUAAUACGUAGGGUGCGAGCGUUAAUCGGAAUUACUGGGCGUAAAGCGUGCGCAGGCGGUUUGUUAAGAUAGGCGUGAAAUCCCCGGGCUCAACCUGGGAACUGCGUUUAUGACUGGCAGGCUAGAGUAUGGCAGAGGGGGGUGGAAUUCCACGUGUAGCAGUGAAAUGCGUAGAGAUGUGGAGGAACACCGAUGGCGAAGGCAGCCCCCUGGGCCAAUACUGACGCUCAUGCACGAAAGCGUGGGUAGCAAACAGGAUUAGAUACCCUGGUAGUCCACGCCCUAAACGAUGUCAACUAGGUGUUGGGUGGGUAAAACCAUUUAGUACCGGAGCUAACGCGUGAAGUUGACCGCCUGG